AUACGGAGGGUGCAAGCGUUAUCCGGAAUCAUUGGGUUUAAAGGGUCCGUAGGCGGACUAUUAAGUCAGAGGUGAAAUCCCACAGCUCAACUGUGGAACUGCCUUUGAUACUGGUAGUCUUGAGUUAUAUGGAAGUAGAUAGAAUGUGUAGUGUAGCGGUGAAAUGCAUAGAUAUUACACAGAAUACCGAUUGCGAAGGCAGUCUACUACGUAUAUACUGACGCUAAGGGACGAAAGCGUGGGGAGCGGACAGGAUUAGAUACCCGAGUAGUCC
rnacentral:rRNA from 1 species